GGGGCUGUAGCUCAGUGGUAGAGCACUUGCUUUGCCGGUGCGAGACACUAGGUUCGAUUCUCAGCACCA
rnacentral:tRNA from 1 species